ACAACUAUCAAGUCGGCCCCCACAUACAUUCGCAACACCGAAACCGAUGGUAGUUAUCCCAUCAACGAUCAUCUUCCAUUUUGUAAUCAUUCAUCGGUUAAUUAUACCAAAUUCGAUAAUGUUGUAGGUGCAUACCUAAGCAGAACCUUAGGUGAUGGUGCUGUAGAUGGCGACCUCAUCGAAAUCAAUGAGCACCUACAAAGUGCCGACCUGCAAACCAGUGAUCCAGUAACAAUUGCGGAUAAUGGAUUUGACGAGCAGAGUCAUGAGUCCAGAGCUCGGCGUAGGACAAGAGAGCGAGCUUGCAAGGGAAGUAUGGCGGCGAUGAAGCGUCAGGAGAAAAUUGGCAAGCGAAAAACAUGUACGCAGGUGCCACGUGGUGAGAGGAAUGCUAUGCUAGAUCGUCGUAAUAAAAGGUUUGUAGGUAGGGUGAAUACCCCAACCGUCAGGUCCAUCUCCAUACCGAAAAUGAGCUCAACGGGACAACCUACCAUAGUUGAAGCACACAGUGCCUCAACAUCAUCUAGCACGCCGGAGUACACGAUCAGAAGUGAAGACGACAUGGACGCUUACCUCAAUGGUCUCAUGAAUGAUGAUGUCAAUCCUGACGACCUCUUUGACGAUGAAUAUUACCGGUUUGCUGGUGAAGGUAUGUACAACCGCUUGAGCGUGAUCCACAUGUUGGGGGUAUCACACUAAUUGGAAACAUUGUUUGCAGGCUCAGAUGCUGAUGACUUGGAGCACGACGAAUUGGAAGACUCAAGUCACAAAAACUAUGUCGACCAUGAUCCAUUUGACUAUGUGUACUCAAACCUGCCAGCCAACACACACAUCCUGAAGCACGCCGCGAACUGCGACCACUGCAAGGCCAAGAAGUUUGUGAGCGAGGCCCCAGGAUUCUGCUGUCGCAGUGGGCAGAUCGAGCUGAAGCAACUGGAGCCCAUCCCGGAGCUCAUGAGGCUUUGGUCUAGCACUGAUGCGGAUGCUAGGCAUUUUCGGGAGAACAUACGGUUUUUCAACGGACACUUCUCCUUCACAACCCUCGGCGUCAGCCUCGAUGAAACAUACACAAACAUGAAGUCUGGGGUGUACACGUUCCGGGCGCACGGCACCAUCUACCACAAUGUUCAUUCCUUCGGG